GGCCGCGGCGGGCGGGCGGGCUGCCCCCGGGUGCGGAGCCGCCGCCGCCGGCCGUAGCCUCGCCAAGCCCGUGGCCGUAGCACCGCCAGAGCGAGUGACGGCCCCGUGAGUGGCCCAGGAAUAUCCUGUGAAUCGAGUGUGGUAAAUGGCACCAGUCCCCGCGGGAGGGUGUGAACAGCGCAGUGUAAAUCCCAGUGCCACAGUGAGGACUGGUCUGUCAAAGUUAUUAAAACACAGGGAAAAACUGGGUGCAUAUAAAGAUUUUGCUCAUAGCAUUUUGCAAACCAGAUGCUUUCAAGGACAGAUAUUGGAAAAUUCUGAAGUUUUCGUGACAGAGGGCAGUGGUUUAGGUGUAACAGUCACAUACAAAGCUCUGAGAGGUUUCAAGAGCCAUAGGAAUCCUGUAAUACUGGAUACUGCUCCUCGUAACUGAAAAGAAUAACCAUGGUUAUAAGACAAGAAAGCUGGACCUUCAUUUACAUCUGAAAUCCAUGUAAGCCAUGUCAUGGGUGAGCGUUACAGCUUUAAAAGUUUCCAGAUGAAGUCAUGUAUUGGGUCUCUGUAUCCUGUGGUCAUCAUCUAUAAGCCGCUACUCAUGUUGGGGUCUGACUACAUUGUACUGAUGCAAUCGGAUUAUAGCACCAGGUGGGAGGAUCAGUUUUCACUGGAAGAAAGAAGAAUGAACUACUCUAAUGCACCAGUACACUGGAGGGCUAAGCACAACAAAUAAGUAGCUGUCUUUUGAAGCUUUUUUCUUUCAGUGGUUAAAUUCCCUGCUUAAAUGCUUAUGCUGUACUUAUAAAGCAAGCCACUAGCUUUAAACAGUUUUCUAAUUUACAUUUAUUUUUCCUUCCCUGCCACCAAGACACUCAAUUUCCAAAACAGUAUAUUAAAAAGGGAAAUUUUAACAAUAAGGCAUAUUUUAUUAUAUCCAUUCCAAAAUGCUAAGUGAAGCUUUAUACAAGCAUUCUUUUGCACUAAUUUUUCAGUACCCUGACCCAUGUUAUAACAAAUUACCUGUGAUUACAGUACAGAGUGAAU